UCUUUGGCCGAGUGGUUAAGGCGCACGCCUGCUAUUGUGUCAAACAGACCUUUCGUGCAGUAAAAUGCACUUGAACUGGCGCUCGAUCGUUAGUGUGUGGGCUCUGCCCGCGAGAGUUCGAAUCUCUCAGGA
rnacentral:tRNA from 1 species